rnacentral:rRNA from 1 species
AUGAACGCUGGCGGCGUGCCUAAUACAUGCAAGUCGAGCGAACGGACGAGAAGCUUGCUUCUCUGAUGUUAGCGGCGGACGGGUGAGUAACACGUGGAUAACCUACCUAUAAGACUGGGAUAACUUCGGGAAACCGGAGCUAAUACCGGAUAAUAUUUUGAACCGCAUGGUUCAAAAGUGAAAGACGGUCUUGCUGUCACUUAUAGAUGGAUCCGCGCUGCAUUAGCUAGUUGGUAAGGUAACGGCUUACCAAGGCAACGAUGCAUAGCCGACCUGAGAGGGUGAUCGGCCACACUGGAACUGAGACACGGUCCAGACUCCAACGGGAGGCAGCAGUAGGGAAUCUUCCGCAAUGGGCGAAAGCCUGACGGAGCAACGCCGCAUGAGUGAUGAAGGUCUUCGGAUCGUAAAACUCUGUUAUUAGGGAAGAACAUAUGUGUAAGUAACUGUGCACAUCAUGACGGUACCUAAUCAGAAAGCCACGGCUAACUACGUG